ensembl:lncRNA
CGGCCCUCGUGCGGACCGCUGAGCCGCCGUGCUGAGCGCGAGCAGCGGCGGAGGAGCGCCGUUCCUCGCGCGGACGUAGCGUGCGUGAGAGCGGUGCGGGCGCGGGGAGCGCAGAACGGAGACGGAGCGAUGGGAGAUGGGUCUGCUGGAGAACGGAAUAGGGCUGCAGCGCGGCUUUGGUGUGGAGGUCGGGUAAAAGAAGCGGGGUUGUUUUCAUCCCCCACGUAAAAGAAUGUUGAAAAUAAAACACCGUUUUAAAACGCGUUCUGUUUUGGUGACGGUGGAGAAGCGAGGACAGCCCGGGGAUGGGAACGGCCCCGCGUCCCUUUCAUUUGCCAGCAGGGCGGAAGAAGGCAGAGCCGGGGCUGUAGCUGCGUGCUGCCGUGCCGGCUGCUGUGGUUGCACGUCGUCCUUGCGCGGGGUCGGAUGCGGUUCUGGGCGCACAAAGCGCUGCGUGGUGCAGCGCGGCGGACGGGCGGCCGUGAACCGGGCUGUGGUUCGAGGUUGUUUCCCGUCAGCGAGUUGAGCAGAUGGCAUACAGCGUUUUCCCAAGAGUUCUGCUUGUGACUUGACUCUUGUCCUUAAAUGAGCAAUGCUUUCCUCCGAGGUGUGGCAGCACUUCCCAGAAUGGUGCUGUUAUCGCUCCUCAGCGUGCUGUGUGACUCAUUGGUGGCCAUGGGCCCCGUGAGGAGUUCCAUCAGGGCACUGCCUGUGCUCUCAUUAAAAGAAGGUGCAAUGUUAGCGGGAUUCUGCCCUCUUCUUGCUUGUGGAGCACCACUGAGCCUUGCAAGGUCACGCAGCCCAAGGUACCAGAGAACAAUCCUUUGUCUGCAGUUCUGUUUUCAUUUUUCCUUUGGUAUUUGGAGAACCCACCCAAUGAUGCGCAGUGCAUUCAGACACAGUGCAGGUCGUGUCUGUGGUGAGGCCAAAACGAGCCGUAUUGUGGGGUGAGCUGCGCAGGGGCGGCUCCAGCCAUGCUUCAUCCUCUGUAGAGUUACACGGCCAACAAAGGAUGCAGAGCCGUUCAGACUUCAGCAGCUUUCCCUCUGUCAUCCUUUCUUGAGAGCCUUUGCCGUAGGUGUGGAAGUGCUUCUUUAGAGCUUCAAGAAUGAAGGGACCCCAAGGUUCUCUCUUCAUCCUGGGGUGCCGAGGCCUUUUCUCAUCCCCACCCCCAAACAAACGGAGCGUAACAGCAGACCUGCGAGUCCCACAAACCUGGCACCUGAAAGUAUGGGCAUGGCCCCGAGGGCGGGCAGGACUCUGAAGCUGGGCAGUGCUCCCACCGCUCUCCAAAGCUCCUGGGAACAGGAGGAGGAGGGUGGGCUGUGCGGGGAGCGGUGGCGGUGCUGGGAUACCUUUGCUGCCUGCAGGAGGUACAGGCAGAGCUCUCUGGAGGCCCUGCAGGGCGCUCAUAAGCCAUUUCUGUCAGAGAUCCCUUUUCUUCUUGCCCCUCUCCCUCCCAGGUGUGGUGCUGCAGCUUGCUGUGAGGCUGCGAUGCUCGCCGUCUCUGAGGCUGACUCACACGAGAAACCAUGUGUGCAUUCAUUGCAGCUGUGUGUGCAGGACGUGGCAUUGGGGAUCAGCGCUGCCAGCUGUGCUCUGACCAUUGCCGGUGUGCCAGCAGGCAGCUGCUGCACUGACCUGGCACACAGCUCUGAACGCUGUCCUUGGGCACCUUUGUAUCUUCAUGGGAACCCAUUUAGUUGGCAGUACCACACGGCAUGCCUGGCCAUGCAGUACGCCCCUCAGUGCUGGUUAGUUGAGCCUGAUUGACAUUUAUUUCGUGGCUCUGUGCUUUAUUAAUCCAUUGUUUGCGUGAGCACAUGCCAGUAGAACAGGUAUGCUCUGUUUAGUGUGAACACUGACUUCCUUGCCUUGUCAAAGUGUUCUCAAGUAUGAAUAAGCUGACCUGCCUUAAAAACCACCCUGGGCUGCCCUGGGCUGUGGUGUGGAUCCUCCCCACGCGUGGCAGCACUGUGCACCAGAUGUGACUCACCGGGGCUCUGCCUGCCCUGGUACAGCUGCCACCGUGCAGCCCCGGCAGGGACAGCCUGCUGGGGGGUACUGGGCUGUGAGCUGCGAGUGGGCACUGGGCUGCUGGGGGGCACCGGGCUGCAGCUUGCCCUGCCCUAUGCCUCUGGAUGAUGCCCCCGGGGUCCCAGCCCCGCAGCUCUGUGCAGGGCAGGCUGCGCCCUGCUGGUGCUGGCCCCGGGGACUGCGGGCACCGUGGGCUGCAGUGCCCUCUGCUCCGCUGCAGGGAUGUAGUUCAGCCGGGGCAGUGGCAGAGCUUUGACCUGAGCAGAAACUGCAGGAGGGGAGCAGGGAGCAGUGCAGAGCCCCGCCAGCUCACGGCCUGUCCCGGCACCGCUGCAGGCUGGUUCUGACCGCCCUCUUUUUUUCCGUUUUUUCAUCCAGGGGUCUGAAUCUCUGGGUCGCUGCAGGAAGGUUUGUUGUUCUCGAGACAGCUGUCAUUACAGCACACGUUUUUGGUAUAACUAACAGCUUUUUCAGGCAAGAUCUAAAAAAGGCAGCAGAGAGCAGUUUGUAAUGUGGCGGUGCGCGUGGCCCGCGUGGUGGGAGCGCAGCACGGGGCUGCCCGCCGGACGCUGCAGGUCAGGGCUGUGCCUGCCAUGGGCCG